GUGACACCGCACACAAUGUUGUUUCCUCAGCAGCAUGACGGACACAGAAAGCAUCAGCUGAUUCACUGAGGAUUCUCUACGGAAACUCCAGGGUUUCCACCAGAUGUUGAAACCUGGCUGCAGGGAUUAACUCACAUUCAGACAGCUUCCAACGUCUAGUGGAAAGCCUGAAAGCUUUAGCGUAACACCGAUGUUGGGUGACAAGGCCUGGCUCACAGUCAGCGUUCCGGGUCAUCCCAAAGGGCGGAUGUUUCACUGCAUGUUGCUGCAUCCUGGUGGUCAAAAGAAGAACUGCAGCAUCUGUUUUUCUAACUACACACACUCAGUUUAGCAAAAUUUGCAUCAGAGCCCAUUUUUAGUUCAUCACAUUCAUGCAACCCCCCUUGCAGUGGCACUGUGCCUCCCCCCCAGUUAGAGAACCACUGCUGUGGAGCAAGGGCAGAUAUUUCAUGUCACUGUUGGUGGGAACAAGAAAAACAUCUCCCAACUGGAUCAAACCACUGUGAGGCAUAGGAGAGGGAGGACAUAACUUUUUUUAAAUGUGUUGGACCGUUUGUGUACCAAAUACAUUGACUAGACGUGGACAACAGUGGUUCUAUGUAAUAGUUUGGAUCAAAAUUGUUGCUAGGGACAAUUCUACUUAAUUCUACACCCUAUGUUGUGACAAAGACCACAUAGGGAAGAGGCCAGGGUGGAUGGACAAAUGAACAACAAAUGAAUUCAUUUUUAUGUAUUUUCCUAAAUCAUGUUUUUUUUGUGUACUCAAAGGAAUAUAAAUGAAAUUGAUGUUAGUUUGUUCAUUUAAAGAAUGGCAUUUUAACUGUUACAAAUGGUGUUUUAUUCUUACAACAUGAAAUCACAGUGGAUUUAAUUAGGCUUUUUUUUUUUAUCUAGAUCAACAGAAAAAUCCAGUUUUACUUGAUAUUAAACUGUGCAGCCACUUGCUAUUAAAAGUCACAUAAAUGGUUAAAUGGGGACCACCUGAAUGUCCACAAGGGUUUUCAACUUAUUAUAGAAUAAAUACACCAUUAUCUGGAAGGUCCAAGUGUUUUGGCAAAAUCUACACCGUGAAACCUCAAGAACAGGAAAUAGGGAUUUCAAAGCCCAAGUCAGGGAUGGAUAUAUAUUUCCAAGUUCCUAUAUCUCCCCUGGAGUACAGUGAAAUCAAGAAAUGGAAAAUGUUUGGUACAAUCUGCCUAGAGCAUCCCCGCCACAGAAAGUGAGUCACAGUGCAAGAGCUAGUGAGAAGGCUUCAAGACCAAUUACUACUGUGAGGGAGUUACAAGCUUCCACAGAUGUAUGGGAGAGAGGCAAGGAGAACAGCUUUUACUCUUGAAACAGCUAUGAGAGUGGUGAGAGUGAACCAGAACAGUAAAGUUGUGUAUCGGACAGAUAAACAGUGAGCUUUUGAGUUCAUGGACACAGUCAAGAUGUCGGUCUUGGUUUAGGUUUUUAAUAACUUUAUAACUAUGGACUUGUAGCUGUUUUUGGCAGAGUCGCUGUUUGGAGGAAGCUUGGAUCCAGCAGAUU